rnacentral:rRNA from 1 species
CCUACGGGGGGCAGCAGUGAGGAAUAUUGCACAAUGGACGCAAGUCUGAUGCAGCAACGCCGCGUGGAGGAUGAAGGUCUUUGGAUCGUAAACUCCUUUUCUCAGGGAAGAGUAGGGACGGUACCUGAGGAAUAAGUCACGGCUAACUACGUGCCAGCAGCCGCGGUAAUACGUAGGUGGCAAGCGUUAUCCGGAAUUACUGGGCGUAAAGCGCACGCAGGCGGCUUGGCAAGUUCGACGUGAAAGCUCCCGGCUUAACUGGGAGAGGUCGUUGAAGACUGCUGAGCUUGAGGCAAUGAGAGGGGUGUAGAAUUCCCGGUGUAGUGGUGGAAUGCGUAGAUAUCGGGGGGAAUACCAGUGGCGAAAGCGGCACCCUAGCGUUGUUCUGACGCUCAUGUGCGAAAGCGUGGGGAGCGAACGGGAUUAGAUACCCUUGUAGU